UGGCGAGGUUGGGAAACGGUUAGAAAAUGGUUUUACAAAAAGCAACGUGUCGGUCAGACUAGUGUUUCUCCUCCUUUUCUUCUUCAUCCUAUCCUUCCCAAACAAUAAAAACAAAGCCACCCUACUAUUACAGUACCCUUUUUCUUCUCUCUCUCUCUCUCUCUACAGAAUCUAUAGCUUCCUUCCUUCACUCCCGUUCCAUGCCCAAUCGCCUCACAUCUGAUCUUUAAAACUAAUAUUUCCCAAUACUUGUUUUCUACUUCUUUAUUUUUUUUAUUUUAAAAAAAAGAUAAAUGGAUUCCCUUCAUGAUUCAAUAUCAGCGGCGAAUGCCGUCGCCACAAACGGCAACACGGUGCCGCCGUUCCUCAGCAAAACCUACGACGUGGUGGAUGAUCCAUCGACCAACUCCGUUAUCUCGUGGAGUAGCGCUAACAACAGUUUCGUUGUCUGGAAAGUGCCGGAGUUUUCAAGGGACCUUCUGCCUAAGUAUUUUAAGCACAAUAACUUCUCCAGCUUUGUCAGACAACUCAAUACUUAUGGUUUUAGGAAAGUUGACCCAGACCGUUGGGAAUUUGCAAAUGAGGGGUUCCUAAGAGGUCAGAAACAUCUCUUGAAAACUAUCAGCAGGCGGAAACCUGCUAAUGUCCAUGGUAAUCAACAACCUCAAGUUCAUAGCUCGGCAGUUGGAGCUUGCAUUGAGGUAGGGACGUUUGGGCUCGAAGAGGAGGUUGAAAGGCUUAAGAGGGACAAGAAUGUUCUCAUGCAGGAACUUGUUAGGUUGAGACAGCAGCAACAAGCCACAGAUAACCAGUUGCAAGCUGUUGGCCAGCGUGUACAGGUGAUGGAGCAGAGACAGCAGCAAAUGAUGUCUUUUCUUGCUAAGGCCAUGCAAAGUCCAGGUUUCUUAAGCCAGCUUGUACAGCAGCAGAAUGAAAGCAACAGACACCUUACUGGUGGAAACAAAAAGAGGAGACUCUCCAGGCAGGAUGAAGAAAAUUUAACCGGUGAACAUGGUACCAUAUUUCCUAAUAGACGGAUUGUAAAAUUUCAGCCUUCAUUGAAUGAGGCAGCGAAAGCAAUGCUGCACCAGAUAUUGAAGAUGAACACGUCACCUAGGUUGGAACCUUCGAUAGAUAACCCCGAUGCUUUCAUGAUUGAUGGUAUUCCUCCUUCCAAUGCAUUAGACAGCAGGAGCUGCUCCAGUCGAAUUUCUGGAGUGACACUGUCAGAAGUCCCACCAGCUUCUGGACAGUCUUAUCUGCAAGCAGAAUCAGGUUUUCCUAACAGUUGUCCGUGUACUGCCACUCAUUUAACAACUGAGAGUACUAACUCGGGUAAAAUAUCUGAUAUAAAUCAGCAUAAAUCACAAAAAGCAGCAGUCUUUCCAACUGUCCCUCAUAUGCAAGGGGUUGUGACUGAUAAUGAUGUUGGCUUUACAAAUGCAAGUUCGGGAGGAGGGUCUCAGAGAGUGAAUGCAGAGUACAUUGACCCUGUGUCAGCCAUUUUGAAUGGUGCAAGACCAAUACAAACGGAUGACUUUUCUAGUGAUCGUGAUAUGGACAUGCUGCUGGAUGGAACCCCCAAGCUUCCAGCAAUUAGUGAUGUUUUCUGGGAACAGUUUCUUACAACAAGCCCGCCCAGUGGGGACUCUGAUGAAAUUAACUCGAGUUCUCCAGAAAAUGGCGCAAGUUGUGAACCUGAAUUACUGUUGGGGAAGAAUAAUGGGCGGGAUAGGAUUCAACAUACGAAUCAUCUCACAGAGCAAAUGGGCCUUCUUACAACAGAUAACCGGAGAGGCUGAUGCCCUACAAAUUGUGUAUGUCUGGAAAUUGUGAUUAGAUAAUUUUCACUAUUUGUUAUUGAGAUCCAUCUUCUCUGGACUCCCGUAAAGUGAAUUUGACACACUGGGACAUGGAAUUAUGGAGAAGGUGUUUGCAAUGGUGGCAAAUCCUAGAGACUUUGUUUAAGCUUCUGGACUGCUUUUGUUUGAGCUUCCUUCCAUGGAGGGGGAUCUUUUUUCAACAUCUUGCUCAAAGAUCUGGAUAGACCAAAUACGGAGUUAGAUCGAGGAAAAAAGAAAGUAUUAGAUUAGUAGCCUACGAAUUUACAUACACUUGUCGAGUAACUUGGAAGCUCGUUAAGGUUGGAAGCUGGUCGGAGUCACAUCACACUAUUUAUCGGCCUUUUUUGUAUAUUUAAUAAAUCAACUUUGGUUAUAAUGGCAUAUAUAGGUUAAUUUGGUCAUUUAUGGUAUGUAAAUGUUUUGUUGUGAUUAGCCAUUUGAAUGGCUUAUGUUUGAUACAUUUUGACAUAUAAGUAUAUGACCUUAUUAUGGUUGAUGUGUGUUUUGGUAUGAUUGAAUAAUGGUUUACUAAUAGGCAUAUUGAGGCAUGGGUUGAUUUGGUA